rnacentral:rRNA from 1 species
AAUGAACGCUGGCGGCAGGCCUAACACAUGCAAGUCGAGCGAACAGAUGAGGAACCUGCUCGUCUGACGGUAGCGGGGGACGGGUGAGAGAAAUGUGGAUAACCCACCUAUAAGACUGGGGUUAAUUCGGGAAACCGGAGGUAAUAACGGAAAAUAUCUUGAACAGCAUGGUUCGAUAGUGAAAGGCGGUUUUGCUGUCGCUAAGAGCAGGAUCCGCGCCGCAUUAGCUAGGUGGUAAGGUAACGGCUUACCAAGGCCACGAUGCUUAGCCGACCUGAGCGGGUGAUCCGCCACACUGGAACUGAGACACGGUCCAGACUCCUACGGGAGGCAGCAGUGGGGAAUCUUCCGCGAUGGGCGAAAGCCUGAUGCAGCCACGCCGCGUGAAUGAUGAAGGUCUUCGGAUCGUAAAGUUCUGUUAUUGGGGAGGAAGGAAUUCGCGUUUAUCCCUGCACUUAUUGACGUUACCUGAAGAAAAAGCCCCGGCUAACUCCGUG